rnacentral:misc_RNA from 1 species
GAUGAAGAACGUAGUGAAAUGCGAUAAGUAAUGUGAAUUGCAGAAUUCAGUGAAUCAUCGAAUCUUUGAACGCACCUUGCGCCCUUUGGCUAUUCUGAAGGGCAUGCCUGUUUGAGUAUCAUGAACACCUCAACUCUCAUGGUUCGCCAUGAUGAGCUUGGACUUUGGGGGUCUUGCUGGCCUACGGUCGGCUCCUCUCAAAUGAAUCAGCUUGCCAGUGUUUGGUAGAGUCGCAGGUGUGAUAACUAUCUACGCUUGUGGUUUUCUGCCAGAUAACCUUCAGUGAUGGAGGUUCGCUGGAGCUUAUAAAUGUCUCUCCCCAGUGAGGACAGCUUUUUGAACGUUUGAUCUCAAAUCAGGUAGGACUACCCGCUGAACUUAAGCAUAUCAAUAAGCGGAGGA